CCUACGGGUGGCAGCAGUGGGGAAUAUUGCACAAUGGGCGAAACCCUGAUCCAGCGACGCCGCGUGAGGGAAGAAGGAUUUCUGUAUGUAAAGCUCUAUCAGCAGGGAAGAAAAGAGACGGUAGCGGACUAAGAAGCAUCUGCCAACUGCGUGCCAGCAGCCGCGGUAAGAGGUAGGGGGCAAGCGUUAUCCGGAGUUACUGGGUGUAAAGGGAGCGUAGGGGGUAAUAUAAGUCGGAGGUUAAAUACCCGGGCUCAACCUGGGAACUGCUUUGGAAACUGGAUGGCUGGAGUGCGUGAGAGGUAAGCGGAAUUCGUGGUGUAGCGGUGAAAUGCGUAGAUAUUAGGCAGAACACC
rnacentral:rRNA from 1 species